rnacentral:tRNA from 1 species
GGUGGGAUAAGCUAACCUCUAAAGCUGUUGGGCUCAUAACCCAAAAAUAGACACAUUCUUCCCACUA